UUUUUAGGGAUUUUUAGGGAGAUUUGGGAUUUUUGGGGAUUUUUGGGGUUUUUUUUGGGGAUUUUUUUGGUGUUUCUGAAAUUUCUGGGGUUCCUGCCCCACGUAGUCAGGCUACAGCACCGAGAGCCUCGUGCAGAGAAUCGCUGAGCGCGGGAUCCACUUCUCGGUGGUGGCUCCGCGGAAGCUUCCGGCGCUGCGCGCGCUCUUCGAGAAGGGAGCGCCCCCCGGCGGCCUGGAGCCCCCCCAGGGCAAAGAGUGCGGCCAGGACCCCCGGCACAUGGUGCUGGUCCGGGGGGUGGCGCUGCCAGGCAGCAGCGGCGCCCCUCCCCCGCUGCCGCCCCCCAAGGCGGGCG